GAGCCGGUUUCAUCCCCGGUGACAGAAUCUGCUUCGACAGACGAAGGCUUUUAAACACUGCUGAAAAAUGUCUACACGGCAGGUGUUUGCUGUUUGCUUUCAAUUCCCAUCAGUCUCUUCAGGUGGCUUUCUGUUCUGAACUGCAGAACUGAAUAGUGGAGAACUAAGGCCAGAAAUGGAUUCUGCACAAGUGCACAGUGUAGACGUCAAUGCUUGGCCAAGGAAUUACAUUCUUAAUGUGGGCUACAGUGGCGUUUCCUUCAAAUAUCUGUGCCAUUAACCUAUAAGGUAUGUCUGAUGGCCCGAGGGCCCGUCGGGUCCCUGUAGUGGCUGAUAAAGGCUCUGUUGGGCUCCAGGCAUCCAGAGAUUUCACACUCCAUACUUCCGUCACUCAGCACAGAUUCCAGCACUAUUCCCAGGUCCAGGCCGCACAGCGCCGGGGAAGCGAGAGAUUACGGCCAUGUGGGAAUCCAAGCAAGAUUAUAGUUCAUUUCCAGACAGGUGAAAAUGUGCUUACGGUUAGAGAGAGACAGAAAACAAACGACUUCUUCAGCUCCUCUUGUCUGAAGCGGCUUCAUUAGAGACGUAAGCCUUCAUGAAAUGCUAAUUCACAGCGUCUCCCUUCAAUUUGUUUCCUAGGAUCAAGAUCCUCUCUGAAUAUCUGGGGAGCCUGUUAAUAUUUGAGCAAACGGAUGUGUUUGAAUUACUUAAAGUCCACAAAUCUGCCUGCUCGAGAAGAUCUGAUUGAAAAUGUACUCGGUUUAAUUUGGUUAUGUUUGCAGGGAGCAUUUGCUCAAGAGGAAAGCGCUGUGUGUAGCUCCGAUUAUGAAUUCAAACGAAGUCGAGGGACAAACAUUUCAUUUUGCGUUCAUCUCUGUUUAAAGUGGGUGUCAGGAUCAACUCGUGUCACUUCAUGACAUCUCAUGAUUUUAUUUUAUUUUGUCGCUGACAUUGGUAGUCCCUGAAGAAAGGUGCAUUGUUUACUCUGCAACUCAAGCAGAAUAACUUGAUAUUCUGUAGUAAAUGUUUGUGGAAGUUUGCCUUUGGAUUUCGGGGCAUUGCUAAGGUAGUUUUUGAGU